rnacentral:rRNA from 1 species
UUCCGACCUGCACGAAUGGCGUAAUGAUGGCCACGCUGUCUCCACCCGAGACUCAGUGAAAUUGAAAUCGCUGUGAAGAUGCAGUGUACCCGCGGCUAGACGGAAAGACCCCGUGAACCUUUACUACAGCUUGGCACUGAACAUUGACCCUACAUGUGUAGGAUAGGUGGGAGGCUUUGAAACUAGUACGCCAGUAUUAGUGGAGCCGUCCUUGAAAUACCACCCUUGUAGUGUUGAUGUUCUAACGUUGACCCCUUAUCGGGGUUGCGGACAGUGCCUGGUGGGUAGUUUAACUGGGGCGGUCUCCUCCCAAAGCGUAACGGAGGAGCACGAAGGUGGGCUAAUCACGGUUGGACAUCGUGAGGUUAGUGCAAUGGCAUAAGCCCGCUUGACUGCGAGAAUGACAAUUCGAGCAGGUGCGAAAGCAGGUCAUAGUGAUCCGGUGGUUCUGAAUGGAAGGGCCAUCGCUCAACGGAUAAAAGGUACUCCGGGGAUAACAGGCUGAUACCGCCCAAGAGUUCAUAUCGACGGCGGUGUUUGGCACCUCGAUGUCGGCUCAUCACAUCCUGGGGCUGAAGUCGGUCCCAAGGGUAUGGCUGUUCGCCAUUUAAAGUGGUACGCGAGCUGGGUUUAGAACGUCGUGAGACAGUU